UACGGAGGGUGCAAGCGUUGCUCGGAAUUAUUGGGCGUAAAGGGUAGGUAGGUGGUCUCAUUUGUCUGGGGUGAAAGCCUUGAGCUUAACUCAAGAAGUGCCCCAGAAACGGUGAGACUAGAGUCUUGGAGAGGGUCGUGGAAUUCCCAGUGUAGCGGUGAAAUGCGUAGAGAUUGGGAAGAACACCGGUGGCGAAAGCGCUCUGCUGGGUCAUAUCUGACACUGAGGGACGAAAGCUAGGGGAGCGAAAGGG
rnacentral:rRNA from 1 species